rnacentral:rRNA from 1 species
CUGGCGGCGUGCCUAAUACAUGCAAGUCGAACGGCUUUUCUAUGGAAGCUUGCUUCCACUGAGAAGAUAGUGGCGAACGGGUGAGUAACACGUGGGUAACCUGCCCAUAAGAGGGGGAUAACAUCCGGAAACGGGUGCUAAUACCGCAUAGUUUUCUUGAUCGCAUGAUCGGGAAGGAAAGACGGCCUUUGUGCUGUCGCUUAUGGAUGGACCCGCGGCGUAUUAGUUAGUUGGUGAGGUAACGGCUCACCAAGACGAUGAUACGUAGCCGACCUGAGAGGGUGAUCGGCCACAUUGGGACUGAGACACGGCCCAAACUCCUACGGGAGGCAGCAGUAGGGAAUCUUCCGCAAUGGACGAAAGUCUGACGGAGCAACGCCGCGUGAGUGAAAGAAGGUUUUCGGAUCGUAAAACUCUGUUGUCAGAGAAGAACAAGUUGGAGAGUAACUGCUCCAGCCUUGACGGUAUCUGACCAGAAAGCCACGGCUAACUACGUGCCAGCCGCCGC